rnacentral:rRNA from 1 species
AGGAGUGGAGGUUAGUCCGGGAGUACAGGUGGUGCAUGGUUGUCGUCAGCUCGUGUCGUGAGAUGUUGGGUUAAGUCCCGCAACGAGCGCAACCCUUGUCUUUAGUUACCAUCAUUCAGUUGGGACUCUAGAGAGACUGCCGGUGAUAAACCGGAGGAAGGUGGGGAUGACGUCAAAUCAUCAUGCCCCUUAUGGCCUGGGCUACAAACGUAAUACAAUGGCGUAUACAAAGGGAUGCGAAAGGGCGACCUGGAGCAAAACUCACAAAGUACGUCUCAGUUCAGAUUGGAGUCUGCAACUCGACUCCAUGAAGGCGGAAUCGCUAGUAAUCGCGGAUCAGCAUGCCGCGGUGAAUACGUUCUCGGGGUUU